rnacentral:misc_RNA from 1 species
UAGGAUCACUGACCCAAGUGACAAUUUGACCAGCUCCACGAAUAGCCCUGAUCAGAUGGGGAAGCUUUACUCUCAUGUUAUCAGCUCCCAUCCUGGCGAUUACUGUAAUCCUUCCUGGUCUAUUUUGAGGGUUAAGAAUGUCAAUAAGCUUGACUAGUUCAUUUGGAUCCAUUUUAUGACUCACCUUGAUUCCAAGUGGAUUGGCAAUUCCUCUCAGAAACUCAACAUGAGCACCAUCCAAUUGCCUUGUUCGUUCCCCAACCCAAAUCAUAUGAGCGGAGCAGUCAUAAUAAAGGCCAGAAGUUGAAUCCUCUCUAGUAAGUGCUUGUUCAUAAGGCAAGAGAAGGCACUCAUGUGAUGUCCAGAAGUCUGUUGUAGUCAUGAUUGGGUGGUCAACUGUAAGCCCAGCAGCAGUCAUGAAGCCCAUGGUUUCGUCAACUCGGUGAGCCAGUUCACGGUACCUGUCACCUUGCUCGCUGCGAUCAGUAAAGUCAAGAUUCCACUCGUUAACCCUCUGCAUGGCAGCAUAACCUCCAGUAGCAAAUGCCCUGAGGAGGUUCAAUGUAGCUACAGACUGAGUAUAGGCCCUAAUCAUCCUAUGGGGGUCAGGAAUUCUUGAUAUCUCAUCAAAAGUAUCGCCAUUCACAUUGUCUCCCCUGUAA